GAUGAACGCUGGUGGCGUGCCUAAUACAUGCAAGUCGAGCGAACAGAUAAGGAGCUUGCUCCUUUGACGUUAGCGGCGGACGGGUGAGUAACACGUGGGUAACCUACCUAUAAGACUGGCAUAACUCCGGGAAACCGGGGCUAAUGCAGGAUAACAUGUUGAACCGCAUGGUUCUACAGUGAAAGGCGACUUUGCUGUCACUUAUAGAUGGACCCGCGCCGUAUUAGCUAGUUGGUGAGGUAACGGCUCACCAAGGCAACGAUACGUAGCCGACCUGAGAGGGUGAUCGGCCACACUGGAACUGAGACACGGUCCAGACUCCUACGGGAGGCAGCAGUAGGGAAUCUUGCGCAAUGGGCGAAAGCCUGACGGAGCAACGCCGCGUGAGUGAUGAAGGUCUUCGGAUCGUAAAGCUCUGUUAGUAGGGAAGAACAAAAGCGUGAGUAACUGUGCGCGUCUUGACGGCACCUAAUCAGAAAGCCACGGCUAACUACGUG
rnacentral:rRNA from 1 species